rnacentral:rRNA from 1 species
UGGGGAAUUUUCCACAAUGGGCGAAAGCCUGAUGGAGCAACGCCGCGUGUGUGAUGAAGGUCUUCGGAUCGUAAAGCACUUUCGACCGGGAAGAAAAACCUUUGGCUAACAUCCAGGGGCCUGACGGUACCGGGAGAAGAAGCACCGGCUAACUCUGUGCCAGCAGCCGCGGUAAUACAGAGGGUGCAAGCGUUGUUCGGAAUUAUUGGGCGUAAAGCGCGUGUAGGCGGCUUUGCAAGUCAGAUGUGAAAGCCCACGGCUUAACCGUGGAAGUGCGUCUGAAACUGCAGAGCUUGAGUCUCGGAGAGGAUGGCGGAAUUCCGCAAGUAGAGGUGAAAUUCGUAGAUAUGCGGAGGAACACCGGUGGCGAAGGCGGCCAUCUGGACGAGCACUGACGCUGAGACGCGAAAGCGUGGGGAGCAAACA